GCGGUAGGCCUAACACAUGCAAGUCGAACGAGUGGCGGACGGGUGAGGAAUGCAUCGGAAUCUACUCUUUCGUGGGGGAUAACGUAGGGAAACUUACGCUAAUACCGCAUACGAAUGAAUGAGCCGAUGCCCGAUUAGCUAGUUGGCGGGGUAAGAGCCCACCAAGGCGACGAUCGGUAGCUGGUCUGAGAGGAUGAUCAGCCACACUGGAACUGAGACACGGUCCAGACUCCUACGGGAGGCAGCAGUGGGGAAUAUUGGACAAUGGGCGCAAGCCUGAUCCAGCCAUACCGCGUGGGUGAAGAAGGCCUUCGGGUUGUAAAGCCCUUUUGUUGGGAAAGCGGUACCCAAAGAAUAAGCACCGGCUAACUUCGUGCCAGCAGCCGCGGUAAUACGAAGGGUGCAAGCGUUACUCGGAAUUACUGGGCGUAAAGCGUGCGUAGGUGGUUGUUUAAGUCUGUCGUGAAAGCCCUGGGCUCAACCUGGGAAUUGCGAUGGAAACUGGGCGACUAGAGUGUGGCAGAGGAUAGUGGAAUUCCUGGUGUAGCAGUGAAAUGCGUAGAGAUC
rnacentral:rRNA from 1 species